rnacentral:tRNA from 1 species
AUUUAAAUAAUUUAAAUAAAAUAUUGAUUUGUGGAAUCAAAAAUAUGAAUAAAAUCCUUUUAAAUUA